CCUGGAGUCUCUCACUGAGUGGCCCAUCCUCAGAGUUCAUCCACUCCGUGGCCUGCGUCAGAGCCUUGCUCCAUUUCAUGGCUGAGUCGCGUUCUGCUGUGUGUGGUGCCGGGCGACCUGCUCCCCUGCUGAUGGGCGCUCAUGUGGCCUCCUCUCUGGCUAUUGGGAGUCGUGCUGCUGUGGACAUUGGUGUGCAGGUGUUGGUGUGGACGUUGGUGUGCAGGUGUUGGUGUGGACGUUGGUGUGCAGGUGCUGGUGUGGACGUUGGUGUGCAGGUGUUGGUGUGGGUGUUGGUGUGGAUGUUGGUGUGCAGGUGUUGGUGUGGGUGUUGGUGUGCAGGUGCUGGUGUGGGUGUUGGUGUGGGUGUUGGUGUGCAGGUGCUGGUGUGGAUGUUGGUGUGGGUGUUGGUGUGCACGUAUUGGUGUGCAGGUGUUGGUGUGGAUGUUGGUGUGGACAUUGGUGUGCAGGUGUUGGUGUGGGUGUUGGUGUGGACGUUGGCGUGCAGGUGUUGGUGUGGGUGUUGGUGUGCAGGUGUUGGUGUGGACAUUGGUGUGCAGGUGCUGGUGUGGAUGUUGGUGUGCAGGUGCUGGUGUGGACGUUGGUGUGCGGGUGUUGGUGUGCGUGUUGGUGUGCAGGUGUGGGUGUUGGUGUUGGUGUGCAGGUGUUGGUGUGGAUGUUGGUGUGGGUGUUGGUGUGCACGUAUUGGUGUGCAGGUGUUGGUGUGCAGGUAUUGGUGUGGAUGUUGGUGUGCAGGUGUUGGUGUGCGGGUAUUGGUGUGGACAGUGGUGUGCAGGUGCUGGUGUGGACGUUGGUGUGCAGGUGCUGCUGUGGACGGUGUGCAGAUGUUGGUGUGGACGUUGGUGUGCAGGUGUCGGUGUGGGUGUGCAGGUGUUGGUGUGCAGGUGUUAGUGUGCAGGUGUUGGUGUGGAUGUUGGUGUGGGUGUUGGUGUGCAGGUGUUAGUGUGCAGGUGUUAGUGUGCAGGUGUUGGUGUGGAUGUUGGUGUGCAGGUGCUGCUGUGGACGGUGUGCAGGUGUUGGUGUGGACGUUGGUGUGCAGGUGUCGGUGUGGGUGUUGGUGUGCAGGUGUUGGUGUGGAUGUUGGUGUGCAGGUGUUAGUGUGCAGGUGUUGGUAUGCAGAUGGUGUAGAUGUUGGUGUGCAGGUGUUGGUGUGGGUGUUGGUGUGCAGGUGUUGGUGUGUAGGUGUUGGUGUGCAGGUGCUGCUGUGGACAUGCGUUUUUGUUUCCCUUGGGCCGACACAUGGGUGUGGAAUCGCGGGUCCAAGGGUACAUUCUGUUUAGCCUUCUCAGGAAUCGCCUGCCCGUCUCCACGGCGGCUGCACCCUUCAACAUUCCCACCAGCCGUGCAUGAGGGCUGCCUCUGGUCUUGGAAAAGACUCUCGGAAUAGUUGCUCACUUUCUCCAUUUCGACCCUGGAGCCGUCGC
rnacentral:lncRNA from 1 species